rnacentral:lncRNA from 1 species
CCUUUGGAAAUUCACUAUAAAUUGACCAGAGAUAAUUAGGGGUCAUACCAUAUAUGUAUGGAUUCCUCUCUGAGUCUAGUUUCCAUAGAAACAAACGGCAUUAGUAUUGAAGCCCUGUGCAGAGAGAUAUCCCAGUCGUAAUGGGAAAAGGUCAGUGUAGUCGACCCCUGUAACAUGAGAGACUUUGACUAAUAAACUGUACUAAUUGGCCCGACCAAAAAUUCUAGAAAAAAAUAUAUAG